rnacentral:sRNA from 1 species
CACACGGAUGGGUGACUGGUGGUCACUCCGUGCCCACGGCACGCGUUCGGCCCGCUAUGCUGCUCCGCGACAACCCCACAAACGACGACGGCCCCCGACGGGACUGGCAUCCCGGCCGAGGGCCUGACCAUCAAGGAAGCUACGACCUUCCCC